UAGAAUGUUAGCAAUCAGAGGUAUCUUGAGUUUGUCUGUUACAGAGAGCGGUGGUGUUGAGAAAUCCGCACAGAUGUCAAGUUAUGUAGCUGAGGCUUACAAUGGAAAAAUGAUAAAGCAGCAGAUUAAGUGUAAUCUGAAACAGUGGUGGUACCGCGGAUUAUUAGUGAAUUCGUCCCUGUC
rnacentral:misc_RNA from 1 species